ACAGUUAUUGUUUAUUUGAUGGUACCUUACUACUUGGAUAACCGUAGUAAUUCUAGAGCUAAUACAUGCGUCAAGCCCCGACUUAUUUGAAGGGGUGCAUUUAUUAGAUACAAACCAUCGGGCUUCACGGCUCUUUGAUGGCGAGUCAUAAUAACUGAGCGAAUCGAAUGGCUUUGUGCCGUCGAUGCUUCAUUCAAAUUUCUGCCCUAUCAGCUUUCGAUGGUAGGAUCUUGGCCUACCAUGGCUAUAACGGGUAACGGGGAAUUAGGGUUCGGUUCCGGAGAGGGAGCUUGAGAAACGGCUACCACAUCCAAGGAUGGCAGCAGGCGCGCAAAUUACCCAAUCCCGACACGGGGAGGUAGUGACAUGAAAUAACAAUGCUGGACCUUUUCAGGUCCGGCAAUUGGAAUGAGAGUAAUUUAAAUCAAUUCUCGAGGAGCCAUUGGAGGGCAAGUCUGGUGCCAGCAGCCGCGGUAAUUCCAGCUCCAAUAGCGUAUAUUAAAGUUGUUGCAGUUAAAAAGCUCGUAGUCUGAGUGAUUUGGCCUGAAUGUCACAGUUCCGAUUUACUUCGCCCACAUGUGGGGGUGGGAUUCUCGGGGGUAGGUUGAAAGACUUGCUUUCGGGGUUUCAUUCUUUGUGUGGGGGGCCAAAUUUUUGUACUUCGGAGGAACGCACAUGCUUUUUACUAAGUGUGUGAUUGGGAUUCCGAUAGUUUACUUUGAGAAAAUCAGAGUGUUCAAAGCAGGCGUUUAUGCCACUUGAAUACGUUAGCAUGGGAUAAUGGAAUAGGACAUCAGUUCUCUAUUUCAGAUGGUUUGAAGGACCGAUGUAAUGAUUAAUAGGGACAGUCGGGGACAUUUAUAUUCCAUGGCUAGAGGUGAAAUUCUUGGAUUCAUGGAAGAUAAACUACUGCGAAAGCAUUUGUCAAAGAUGUUUUCAUUGAUCAAGAACGAAAGUUAGGGGAGCAAAGACGAUCAGAUACCGUCGUAGUCUUAACCAUAAACGAUGCCGACUAGGGAUCGGUGGGAGUUAAUUUAUAUGACUCCAUCGGCACCUCAUGGGAAACCAAAGUCUUUGGGUUCCGGGGGGAGUAUGGUCGCAAGGCUGAAACUUAAAGGAAUUGACGGAAGGGCACCACCAGGAGUGGAGCCUGCGGCUUAAUUUGACUCAACACGGGGAAACUCACCAGGUCCAGACAUGGUAAGGAUUGACAGAUUGAGAGCUCUUUCUUGAUUCCAUGAAAGGUGGCGCAUGGCCGUUCUUAGUUGGUGGAGUGAUUUGUCUGGUUAAUUCCGAUAACGAACGAGACCUUAACCUGCUAAAUAGUCCUGGCAAAUCCUAAUUCAAAAACGGGUUUGAUACCAGCUGACUUCUUAGAGGGACAAGCUGUAUCUAGCAGCUGGAAGCUUGAGGCAAUAACAGGUCUGUGAUGCCCUUAGAUGUCCUGGGCUGCACGCGCGCUACACUGACGAAUUCAACGAGUUUAUCACCUUGGCAGAGAUGUCUGGGUAAUCUUGUAAACGUUCGUCGUGAUGGGGAUAGAUGAUUGUAAUUAUUCGUCUUGAACGAGGAAUUCCUAGUAGGUGUAAGUCAUCAGCUUGCGCUGAUUACGUCCCUGCCCUUUGUACACACCGCCCGUCGCUCCUACCGAUUGAAUGGUCCGGUGAGAACGUCGGAUCACGCGAUUGAUGCCAGUUCGCUGGUAACUU
rnacentral:rRNA from 1 species